UGGGGAAUAUUGCACAAUGGGCGAAAGCCUGAUGCAGCAACGCCGCGUGAGUGAUGAAGGUCUUCGGAUUGUAAAGCUCUGUCUUUUGGGACGAUAAUGACGGUACCAAAGGAGGAAGCCACGGCUAACUACGUGCCAGCAGCCGCGGUAAUACGUAGGUGGCGAGCGUUGUCCGGAUUUACUGGGCGUAAAGGGUGCGUAGGCGGAUGUUUAAGUGAGAUGUGAAAUACCCGGGCUUAACUUGGGUGCUGCAUUUCAAACUGGAUAUCUAGAGUGCAGGAGAGGAGAAUGGAAUUCCUAGUGUGGCGGUGAAAUGCGUAGAGAUUAGGAAGAACACCAGUGGCGAAGGCGAUUCUCUGGACUGUAACUGACGCUGAGGCACGAAAGCGUGGGUAGCAAACAGGAUUAGAUACCCUGGUAGUCCACGCCGUAAACGAUGAGUACUAGGUGUAGGAGGUAUCGACCCCUUCUGUGCCGCAGUAAACACAUUAAGUACUCCGCCUGGGAAGUACGAUCGCAAGAUUAAAACUCUAAAGUGAAUUGAC
rnacentral:rRNA from 1 species